rnacentral:ribozyme from 1 species
CGACUUGUGACGGAUGAAAGGCAGAGAAGACGGAGGACGCGCUGAGAUGGGGGCAAGGGUGAUGGUAGCAAGGCAGGCGAAAACAUUGCUGCAAUGAUCAUCACAGAUGUAAAAGGCGGUGA